GGGGAUGUAGCUCAGCAGGAGAGAGCUUGCUUAAUGUAUGCAAGGCCCUGGGUUCCAUCCCCAGCACCCGCC
rnacentral:tRNA from 1 species